ACGCCCCGCAAGGGGAGUGGCAGACGGGUGAGUAACGCGUGGGAAUCUACCCUUUACUACGGAAUAACGCAUGGAAACGUGUGCUAAUACCGUAUGUGUCCUUCGGGAGAAAGAUUUAUCGGUAAAGGAUGAGCCCGCGUUGGAUUAGCUAGUUGGUGGGGUAAAGGCCUACCAAGGCGACGAUCCAUAGCUGGUCUGAGAGGAUGAUCGGCCACAUUGGGACUGAGACACGGCCCAAACUCCUACGGGAGGCAGCAGUGGGGAAUAUUGGACAAUGGGCGCAAGCCUGAUCCAGCCAUGCCGCGUGAGUGAUGAAGGCCCUAGGGUUGUAAAGCUCUUUCACCGGAGAAGAUAAUGACGGUAU
rnacentral:rRNA from 1 species